UACGUAGGGCGCAAGCGUUGUCCGGAUUUAUUGGGCGUAAAGAGCUCGUAGGCGGUUUGUCGCGUCUUCCGUGAAAACUGGGGGCUUAACUUCCAGCUUGCGGUGGAUACGGGCUGACUGGAGUGCGGCAGGGGAGACUGGAAUUCCUGGUGUAGCGGUGAAAUGCGCAGAUAUCAGGAGGAACACCGAUGGCGAAGGCAGGUCUCUGGGCAUUAACUGACGCUGAGGAGCGAAAGCAUGGGGAGCGAACAGG
rnacentral:rRNA from 1 species